AUUGAACGCUGGCGGUAUGCCUUACACAUGCAAGUCGGACGGUAGAGGGGCAACCCUAGAGAGUGGCGAACGGGUGAGUAAUACAUCGGAACGUGCCCAGUCGUGGGGGAUAACGUAGCGAAAGCUACGCUAAUACCGCAUACGACCCGAGGGUGAAAGCGGGGGACUCGCAAGGGCCUCGCGCGAUUGGCGCGGCCGAGGGCAGAUUAGGUAGUUGGUGGGGUAAAGGCCCACCAAGCCUGCGAUCUGUAGCUGGUCUGAGAGGACGACCAGCCACACUGGGACUGAGACACGGCCCAGACUCCUACGGGAGGCAGCAGUGGGGAAUUUUGGACAAUGGGCGAAAGCCUGAUCCAGCCAUACCGCGCGCGGGAAGAAGGCCUUCGGGUUGUAAACCGCUUUUGUCAGGGAAGAAAUCUUCUGGGUUAAUACCUCGGGAGGAUUGAUGUUACCCACAGAAGAAGCACCGGCUAACUCCGUGCCAGCAGCCGCAGUAA
rnacentral:rRNA from 1 species